CACCUCCAUACCUUUCUCGGCCCGGGCACGCUUCAUCUUGUAGCGAUGGUUCUGGAACCAGAUCUUGACCUGCGUGGGCGUGAGGCGGAUGAGGCUGGCCAGGUGCUCGCGCUCCGGCGCCGACAGGUCUGAGGGCACCUGACAGCUAGACCAGGAAGGCCAGAGAAGCUCAGCCCUUGCCUUUAGCUGUGACUUACUACAGCAAGACCUGCACUACUGUCUUCUCCUAGGGGACCCUGGGAGUACUGUUUCUCACCCCUUCCUGGCCCUGGGGUUUCCUCGUCUGCUUCCAAAGCGCUAACAUUUGCAAUUGAAAAGGCAAAGGAAGCCCGCUGGGAUGCUCGUAAUUGAAGGGGAGAAACUGGGCUUGUUAGAAGAAGAUCAUAAAAUACAAGUCCCCCAGGAAUAGCUAGCGGACUAUUGGGGAGGCCCAUACCGGCGCAGCUGGAGGCCAGAGACAGUUCUCCCGCCUAGAUCAAGCUCCAUCAGCUUCUAGACUGUGCCGGCUGGGCUUGGGGUCAAAAGAACGGAUGGGUCAGAAGCAAAGGCACCUCUUCUAUCCAAAUUAAACACGCGACUGUUUUCUAAGGACACCCCAAAAGGCCUCCCAGAGAGUCAUCGCUAGGCUUUUGGAUCAUCUACCUGGCAAAAUCCCACACAUCCAGCAGGGUGAGAGGAAAAAGCUGCGUGCCCCUUCCCCUUCAAAAGAGUCUGGUACAAUGUCCUGGCCACCCUGAGCCUGCCAGUUCAAGACGUAUGAGUGCCUGCUUGUGCUGGCAGAAGUCUCAACUCUGCAAGGACCUGCGCUAGUCGCUAGUCCUGCCCACGAGGAAUUCUUUAGUAAACUCUUUCCAGGCUCUUUGCCUUGAGUCCAGGAAAGUGCCCUCAGGCUUGUGUUUGGGCUCAGCUGCAGUAGAAGGGCGGCCCAGGAGUCUCUUCCCCCUGCUGUUGCAAACGUAGGGAGGGAGUUGAAGUGGGCACAGAAGUUUUCUCCAGAGUGCCCUGGGCUAGAGGAAGACCUGUUUGGCAUCUCUUUGGUGAGACGGCGCAUACUCCUCUUGGGGUCAACCGGACAGCUGGAGGCCUCCUUCAGGAGCCCCUGGUCUUCAUCUUCAGGCUUUCAUUCUUCCAACCCUUAGAAGAGGAUCUCGAAAUUCCCUUGCUGGAGGAGUAUGUGGCUGAGCUCUUAGGCCCUGUACAUCCCAUCGCAGAUAACACCCUUCAAGUGGAUUAGUUUAUUGUCUGGUUAGUGCCAAGGUGCAAGCGGUUUGUCUUCUUCCACUCCCGAAACAAAGCGGCGCACCUUCCUGCUCCAGUGAGGAUUAACGGCGCCCAUACAAAGGUUUUGUCGGAGGAGGAAGGUUUAUUUAUCUCAGGCUGGAGGUAGAGACUGCAGGAAAGGAAAGAUGAAGAGAGCCGUCCAGACAAGAGUCCCCUAAGUCAACAAGGUGGGCCAGGUAAGUUUUCUAAGCCCAGGGACAGAGCUCCAAUUACUGUUGUAGGAAAAGCUGACCCCCCACCCCCCACCCCCAGCACACACAGUGGCAGACAACCAGAAAAAAACUAUGAAAACUAAUCAUGAGACCUACAGCCUGGGGUCCCCAAGCAGGUAAAUGUGGUUGCAGAAGAAAGAUAGCGAAGAGAGGCAGCCCCCCCUUUUUUUCUCUGUCAAGGCAAAAUAUACAACACUUUACCAAUUAUCUGCCCCCACCAAAGAGAGAGUAUCUCCCUAGUAUGUAAAUUGUCAUAGAAAUUGGGAUUUCUUGUAUUAAUCGGCCUCAUUGUGUGGGCAUAAGACCCCGAGGGUAUAUGUUAGGACUUUGAUAAAUGCACUUUAAUGAGAUCUUUGAAAAUGCAUCCAAUAAACUAAGAGGCGAGAAAAGCCGUUUAACUUUCAUGGAUGUUAAAUUGAACACGAAAUGUGGCUCCGGGCAGACUACAAAAUUUAAAACGUAGCUUUAAGCCCCCCUCGGGCCAAAGGAGCCUUGUUCCAGCUAACCCAUUAUCAUCGCUUAUUGGGAAACCAAACGACGCGUCCCCGCGGGCGAACCCCUUUGCUUUAUUCCUUAGCACAGCUCUAAUGAUUAAAUAUGGUACAAUGAGAUUACGCAGCAUCACUAUUGCCUUCAGGAACGUUCUUCCAGCCAAGCCCGACCUUCCCUUGAUAAAGGCGAUUCCAAUGCCGGAGAUUCGGGUUUCUCAGGGAAGCAAGGCGCUGAAAGCGCUUCCUUAUCUGAAUUUACUCCUUAACACGUGACAGAAUCAUUACCACAGACUUUGGGAACCAAGCUGCCUCUCCUAACCCGUUAGCAUUCAGCACUUCAAGCUAGACCAGGCAGGCUGAUGGACAACGUAGUCACCCUUGCGAGAGAAAUGCACGCUCUCAGUCGGAGCUAAGAGCACGGAAAGCCAGACACGCACCCGCGGGGACCUCCCGCCCAGAGCACAGGGAGGGGGCGACAGGGGCUCUGUGUCUUAUCCCUCCAAUCUGGGAACCAGAGGUUUCCCAGGAAGCCACGUCCUCCCUCUAUCCCAAGUGCCACCAAAGUGGAGAAGGCGCGAGAAGCAUAGAAAGGCAUAGAAAGGCCUGUUCGUGCGUCUGCGUGCUGGGGAGGGAAGGGCAUGGCAGGAUCAGUGGAGGUGUCUCCCAGCAGAGACCCUGACUUCAGUAGGCCCCACCAAGGUUCAUUUCUGAUCCUCUGGCGAUCUCUGCUGUCACAAACGAGAACUGUCCAGCGCCCGGUGCGGCCCAGAAGACACUAAGGUCUCAAACUGCAGGUUUUCGUCGUCUCCCCAGCGACCGACCACCGUCUCCGCAGCUCCAGCCCCCAGCCCUGUGGGUCCUUGACUCCGAUUCCGCCACUCAUCCUCCAGCUCCGCACGGCUCCCGGCCCCACUCGUGUGCCGGUUCCGCCCCAGAAGGAACCCUCCUUUCUCACUAGGCGCCAUUUCCAAAUUCCUUGGGAUUCUGGCCUCUGCUUACCACCCUCAGUCACCAGCGGCGCGCACGGGAAAGACUCACCCCGCAAAGGUAAAACUUUUCCCAA